rnacentral:lncRNA from 1 species
UCAUUAUAAACGCAUCAGUAGUAUCUACACAUAUUUGGGGAAGAUUUUCCAUUCCUGCAAAAUAAAAAACAGAUUAAAAAAAAAAAAUUUUAAAAAAAAAGCAAACCGAAACACUUCAUGAAAGAGUUCCGGAACACAUAUCAUACAAACCGGAACUCUUCUCCAAAGAGUUCCGGUAUGUGUAAAUUUGUUUACCGAAACUUUUG